GUGAGUCAUCGAGUCUUUGAACGCACCUUGCACCCUUUGGUAUUCCGAAGGGUACACCCGUUUGUAGUGUCAUUGUUAAUCUCACUCCUUCAACUUUGUUGUUGUUGGAUCGUGGACUUGGACUCUGUUGUGAUAUAACAACUGGUCUUAAAUGAAUGAGUGCACCCUGCUGUUGCAGCGUCAUUCAGUGUUGAUAAGCCAUCUUCACUGGAACAAAGUCCCUUGGGACACGCAGGCAUUGCAGGCUCUGUGCUGGCAAACUGUCUCUGGACAAUCUUUGACAAUUUGACCUCAAAUCGGGUGGGACUACCCGCUGAACUUAAGCAUAGUCAAUAAGCGGAGG
rnacentral:rRNA from 1 species